rnacentral:lncRNA from 1 species
CACACGACUAGGGUUUCCAGUGGGUACUGCGGUCCCACCGAUUUACAUGCCACCUCACCUAACAGUUAUUGGUGACACAUAGAUGGAUGAGUGUACAACUCUUGUACAAUGCUUCUCAAGUAUGUUGCAGUGUAACUUGGUCUCUAAGCCAUGAAGACCUCACCUAAUAGUUAUUGGUCCCAUUUCUUAGUUAAGUCAGACCCACCGUAUAACCGUAGGAAUAAAGUCGUCAUUGGGUCCUCACCUAACAGUUAUUGGUGCCCAACCCCACCUUUACCCUACAACAUCUCAUGUCUAUAGAGAGGUCCAGCCCCCCGAUGCAACUUGACCACUAUGUCCAGCAGAGACAAAUCAACAUCAGAAAGGCCUUAGCAGCUCUACUACAGUGGAAGACCUAUUGACUUAAUAUUGGUUAAUCAGGUCUUAGUGUUUGCAACUUGAGCCCUUCAUAAGAGGUAAUCGAACAAUUGGCCAGGUAAGCAGGUGGGAGGCUCCCCUUACUCA